ACCUCGACGACGUCGUCGCCCUCGGCUACCCGGAUCUCGGUGCCCCCGCCUGGAUCUGGAAGCAGGCUCCACGACGACGACGGGCGCCCGCCGUUCUCUGCCCACGGCCUCCACCGGCUUCCCUUCCGCCGUCGCCGCCUCGAGCUCGUCCCACCCCCCUCCCGCCGGCCCUUGCCGAUCUGCUCCACCCAAGCCGCCGCGACGCCGCUCCGCCAACCUCGUGGGGCGCUCGGUUCUCAGCCACCGGCUCCCGUCGCCCUGCAACCCCCUCCCCGUCGUCGACAUGGUGGCCGCCUCCAUGGCUCCCCAACGGUGGUCGGUGGUGGCGAUGGCGGUCAAGGCCGCUGGCUCGGUGAGGUCUGGCCCUCACCUAAGGCUUCUUCUUGCUUGGACAUCUCUGGUUGCAAGGAUCUCUUUCGGCACGACUAUCAAGUUGCCAGGUAA
rnacentral:lncRNA from 1 species